AAGAGAGAGACCCUUAACGGGUCCGACCUAACGGGUCUGAUCCGAGUACGGGUCCAAACCUGUUAGGCCCAAAUAAAAGAAAAGAAAAAUGGAUUUAGCCAAAUUUGACUAAAACCGAGCCCAGUCAGAUUGGGCUAAGUCCGGACGAACCCAAACUAUAAAUUGGAUUAAAUCCAAACCAAAUUAAGCCCAAUUGAGUUGGGUCUGAACCUAAUUAAGCUGAGUUAGUCUCAGCAGACCCAAAUUGAAUAUGAAUCAAGCCCAAUUCAAAACCAGUUUAACUAAAUUGAGACCGAAUUGACUUUGGGCUGAUCCUGACUCCAGCCUAGAUGAGCCACAUUGACCCUGGACCAAAAUUAAACCUAAUUGGACUUGAAAUUGAGCCCAAUAACAUAAUCAGAAGACCAAAUUGACCCGAUAGGGCUAGACCCAAUCAGGAACCGAGCUCAAUUCUUUAAUUAAAGAACCAAUUGACCUACGUGAAUCCAAUCUGGUUCUAAAAUCGAGGUCAAGGACUCUAAAUU
rnacentral:lncRNA from 1 species